CGCUUAACUGAUGUCUUCCAAGUCUGGAAGAGUGGUUCGGGUAUCCUCAACAUCUAACCGCCAAGUCCGCCCACGUGGGCCCUCGGCAAUGUUGACUGUCUGUGUUUACAGUUCUCUCCCGGGGCCACAUCCACCGUUCCCACACCGGCCUCACCUGCACUGGAGCCCGGCUGUGUUCCUCCUUGUUGAUCUUUUUUCCACUUCCUUCCUCUGCCCGUGGAGGACGAUGCGUGCUUCUCGUUGUGAUAAGGGGCAAGCAGCAAUGGAACCAGAUUUCGAAGCUCUCGCUUAAAGUCUUCAUCAAUAUCUAAUGGAAACGAAAUAUAAGCCAACAUGUUAGUCAAAAGAAGACAGAGUAAAGAAGUCCCCACUGAUAAGAAAGUGGCUGAGUGGCUCUAAGUGGUUAUCCAAAACCAGGCCUCCUACUAUCAUCAGGUUGAAUAUAUAAACAAGAGAACACCAAGGUACAAGCUUCAGAACAGAGAAUUCCCUUAUAUAAUAUUUUAAGGUAAGUUACAGAGCCAGCUAAUUCGAGGGGCACAAAGAUUGGCUUCUGCCUGCCUCAAGGAAAUGGC